rnacentral:rRNA from 1 species
UACGGAGGGUGCAAGCGUUGUCCGGAAUCACUGGGCGUAACGGGCGCGUAGGCGGCCUGGUAAGUAGGGGGUGAAAUCCUGCGGCUUAACCGCAGGGCUGCCUUCUAAACUGUCAGGCUUGAGCACGGUAGAGGCAGAUGGAAUUCCCGGUGUAGCGGUGGAAUGCGUAGAGAUCGGGAAGAACAUCAGUGGCGAAGGCGGUCUGCUGGGCCGUUGCUGACGCUGAGGCGCGACAGCGUGGGGAGCAAACAGG